rnacentral:rRNA from 1 species
UACGUAGGGACCGAGCGUUGUCCGGAAUCAUUGGGCGUAAAGAGCGUGUAGGCGGCCACUUAAGUCCUGCGUGAAAUCUUGCGGCUCAACCGCAAGCGGUCGUGGGAAACUGGGUGGCUAGAGUGCGGGAGAGGAGAGUGGAAUUCCUGGUGUAGCGGUGGAAUGCGCAGAUAUCAGGAAGAACACCAAUGGCGAAGGCAGCACUCUGGGACGGUACUGACGCUGAGACGCGAAAGCGUGGGGAGCAAACAGG